AUGCCUCCGGAGACCAGCCUGCUGUCUGUGUCUGAUGUUAGCCUGGAGCGGCCAGAGCUUUCGGAGGUAGCAUGGGAGACGAGGCUCGCUCUGGCUGAACGACCAUGUCCGCUGGUGGUGAACCCUGAACAGAGGGCCCUUAUUGAGCCAGCUAUGAAAAAUUCAGACAAGUAUAUGCAAGAAAUCAGAGAGUAUUGGAAGAAGAUCGAUGAGCUAAAUGCAACCCUUCCUGAGAAGGAUCAGUUCUUCACUGUUUCUAUUCAACCUCGAUGUCCAGAACCAGCUUCCUUUUUCACGUACUACAGACUCUAUGCAUUGGACAACACCAAUCCAACUCCCCUUACAAGCAAACGAUUCACAGAACCGAGAAAAGACUACCCGGUAUUGACUAUGCUCCAAAUAUUCUCAUUCAGAUAUUUUGGCGACUUCCUGGGUGAUCAGAGCAUGCUAGUAUAUGGGUUCAUUGCUAUCCGGGAUGAGUUGGAUUGUCUGCGCAAUUACAUCUUCAACUGUCCUAGAGAGCAGGCGCACGAGAUAACACCGGAUUCCGGGACGUUGCCGCUCAUAUCUCCUGUUCGUGGGAACUCUAUUCUCGAUGGUGUUCUUCUUGAGUACAGCCUGAAGGUCAAGUCUAAUGGCAGUGACAACGCUGAGAUGGAUUAUGUAUUAGCUGAUGGUUGCAUUGAAUAUACAGAUCACAUGAUUGUGCGUGGCACUACACUGAAGUCGAGGCUUUUUGGCAAGCUUGGCCCAGUGGACUUCCAUUAUGCUUUCCUUAGCCAGGAUGCAAUUGUGCUGUAUGAUGGGUCUACUGAUUCUUCUCCUGCACAAUCAGUGUUCCCUAUAUCAUCAGUUGUUACUGUUCAACUGGGUCAUGAGCUAAAGCUUAAUUUUGGCAUCACCUCUAAGGAUACUGUGCGCAAGGGGUGUGCGAGGAGGUUUGUGCCCUGGAAAGCAGCGUCGGCGCAGUACCAAAGGCCUGAUGUUGUGAUGGAUGGAGAGCCGGAACCAAAGACAUAUUCCCGUUUCCUCACUUUCAUUUCACAGAAAUGUUCAUUCGACAGUGGUAAAGUCUCAGUCGGUGACGAGUUCAAAGCUGAGGUUACAGUGACCUGGUCUACCAUGGGGCCGUAUUGA
rnacentral:rRNA from 1 species